AUUGAACGCUGGCGGCAUGCCUUACACAUGCAAGUCGAACGGUAACAGGUCUUCGGAUGCUGACGAGUGGCGAACGGGUGAGUAAUACAUCGGAACGUGCCUAGUAGUGGGGGAUAACUACUCGAAAGAGUGGCUAAUACCGCAUGAGAUCUACGGAUGAAAGCAGGGGAUCGCAAGACCUUGUGCUACUAGAGCGGCCGAUGGCGGAUUAGGUAGUUGGUGGGAUAAAAGCUUACCAAGCCGACGAUCUGUAGCUGGUCUGAGAGGACGAUCAGCCACACUGGGACUGAGACACGGCCCAGACUCCUACGGGAGUCAGCAGGGGGGAAUUUUGGACAAUGGGCGAAAGCCUGAUCCAUCAAUGCCGCGUGCAGGAUGAAGGCCUUCGGGUUGUAAACUGCUUUUGUACGGAACGAAAAGCCCCGGGUUAAUACCCUGGGGUCAUGACGGUACCGUAAGAAUAAGCACCGGCUAACUACGUGCCAGCCGCCGCAGUAA
rnacentral:rRNA from 1 species